rnacentral:rRNA from 1 species
UACGAAGGGGGCUAGCGUUGUUCGGAAUUACUGGGCGUAAAGCGCACGUAGGCGGACUAUUAAGUCAGGGGUGAAAUCCCGGGGCUCAACCCCGGAACUGCCUUUGAUACUGGUAGUCUCGAGUCCGGAAGAGGUGAGUGGAAUUCCGAGUGUAGAGGUGAAAUUCGUAGAUAUUCGGAGGAACACCAGUGGCGAAGGCGGCUCACUGGCCCGAUACUGACGCUGAGGCACGAAAGCGCGGGGAGCGAACAGG